rnacentral:rRNA from 1 species
AGUCGAGGGGCAGCACAGGUAGCAAUACCGGGUGGCGACCGGCGCACGGGUGAGUAACGCGUAUGCAACUUGCCUAUCAGAGGGGGAUAACCCGGCGAAAGUCGGACUAAUACCGCAUGAAGCAGGGAUCCCGCAUGGGGAUAUUUGCUAAAGAUUCAUCGCUGAUAGAUAGGCAUGCGUUCCAUUAGGCAGUUGGCGGGGUAACGGCCCACCAAACCGACGAUGGAUAGGGGUUCUGAGAGGAAGGUCCCCCACAUUGGUACUGAGACACGGACCAAACUCCUACGGGAGGCAGCAGUGAGGAAUAUUGGUCAAUGGGCGUAAGCCUGAACCAGCCAAGUCGCGUGAGGGAUGAAGGUUCUAUGGAUCGUAAACCUCUUUUAUAAGGGAAUAAAGUGCGGGACGUGUCCCGUUUUGUAUGUACCUUAUGAAUAAGGAUCGGCUAACUCCGUGCCAGCAGCCGCGGUAAUACGGAGGAUCCGAGCGUUAUCCGGAUUUAUUGGGUUUAAAGGGUGCGUAGGCGGCCUUUUAAGUCAGCGGUGAAAGUCUGUGGCUCAACCAUAGAAUUGCCGUUGAAACUGGGGGGCUUGAGUAUGUUUGAGGCAGGCGGAAUGCGUGGUGUAGCGGUGAAAUGCAUAGAUAUCACGCAGAACCCCGAUUGCGAAGGCAGCCUGCCAAGCCAUUACUGACGCUGAUGCACGAAAGCGUGGGGAUCAAACAGGAUUAGAUACCCUGGUAGUCCACGCAGUAAACGAUGAUCACUAGCUGUUUGCG